rnacentral:lncRNA from 1 species
AUUUCUUUUGCAGGGCAUCCUUAACAACCAAUCAGAGAACAUUUUACACACCUAUAAAGGUAGGGAAAAGAAGCUAUUUCUGAUUAUAAAAUAUGUCUAAUUUGUUUUAACUGUUUCAAAACCAUCCCAUUGAUGCUGCUUAUUCUGACUGAGUGUAUAUUGUAUCUACUUACUUAAACUUGAAAUCAUCCAACACAGUUAUUGGUCAGUUUGAGUCUUUCAUGCAUACCACAAGUUGAUGUUUUAAUAUAGACAAAAUUUUCCUUUUCAUAUUUUUACAUUUUUACAUUACUUUCUUCACAAUUUUAUGAUAGCUUGGUGUAUUAUAUGUAAUUUAUAUUAUAUAGAGAUAGAUAGUUAAAAACUGAGGAUCUCUUGUUUACCAUAGUUUCAUUCUUUUUUUGCUAUUCUAAACCUAUAAUUUUUAAGGAAAUAACUCAAAUAACCAUACAUAUAAUUAACUGCCAAUAAUUUAACAACAUAAACGCUAAUUUGGAGGAAUUUUCUUCAGUAUUUGCUUUACUUAAAAGUGCAGAAAAUGUGGCCCUUUUCUUGGUAAGGGCGUAUGUGAAGAUAAAUUUAGAUUUUAUAGUCUAGUAAAUACUUCUCUGGUAAUAACUUAAUUGUAGCUAUUUCAAACCAAAUUGUUUAAUUGUGGUGAAUCAUAUGCAAAUUGUUCAGAUGUAGGUCAACUACCACUCCCACAUUCUAGCACCUCUUUUCUAAUUCAGGACAGAUUGCUCCAUGCCUGAUAGAGGAGAAUAGUACAGAUUAGAGACAUAUGACUAAAACAAACCAACAGCAUCACAAAAACUAAAGGUGGGGCAGGAGUCAGAAAGUCCCAGUAAAAAUGACAAGACAAGUGGCAUUUAUUUACACCUUGGUGGAUGAACUCUUAGGAUUGCUAUGUGUUUGUAGAAAAUAGUUUUCUCUCUGCUCAGGACAUUCAUGGCUGGCAAAUCAUGGCACUUCUAUGAUACUGUUUGCUCAUCUGUAAAGUACAUAUAAUAGCAUCAUUCUUGUCUAUUCAUUGAACUGAAAUGAGGAUCAAGUUAAAAAAACAAAAGGACUAUAAAAUGAAUCCUGUCUCUGAUAUGGACAGACUAUCCCAGUUUUGGUGAUCUGGUUGAAUUACAGAGGACUAGACUGAAUUACAGAUCACUAAUGGGCAAGAACACCUUGAGCAGUUUGGUGUGGUUGUAUUUGUGGAUGUAUUUCAAUUGCAGAAGCCAUAGAAGUUCUUUAUUUUUCUACCGGUUUUAUUUUGGUUCUAGUCUAUAGAUGCUUUUGUGAUGAAGCAUUGAAUCGUGUUCUGAUGAUCAGCCAAGGUUUCAAGAUUCUAUUUAAUCUUUAUAUGUUGUCUGCUGUACUUUCAAAGAAAAAAAAAUAAUAUUUUCAGUUACUGAUGAUUUGAAAAUGUUAAGUGGAUUGCCCAAAUUUGUCACACUUGUUGGCUUUCAUCUUUAGGUGACUGUUACUGAUGUUCUAGGUAUAUUUAGCCUUGCUGCUUAUUUGGGAAAACUAUUUCUUUAGGCCUUAUUUCUAAUAAAAUUAAAAUUCUGCUUUGAUGUAAGCAUAGGUGUUUUUUCACUAUCCCUUUUCAUUGCAAAUUGGUUGUACAAGAAUUUCAACAUAUCUGCAGAUAGUUUAUGAUCUUUUAUGUUUUCUAAAAAUUAAUUAUUGGAAUAAGAUGAAGCUAUUUUGUAAUUUUUAGAGUGGGGAAACAGAUGAUAGAUACUUUGUACUGUUUCAGUAUAAAUAUGUUUGUUGUUUAAAUAAUUCAAAAUUUAAAAAAACAUAUUCCUUUUGCAUAUACACAGACAUCAAUUUUUAGAAAGUAGAACUUUAAAAUAGAACAAAAGAGACCUACCUUAAUUACACUUUUGGCAGACAUACAAAAAGUAUAAUUACCCUGUGUACACUGAAUCAAGAAAUUAAGGAAUGAAGAAAAAGUGUAACAGUAAUGAGGCACAGAAAAUAGUAUUCGUAAGUGCACAGCAGUGGUCAGGGAAAAAAAUAACAAAUAAAUACAGAAAAAUCAAAAAAAAAAAAAAGAAGAAAGAAAUAACAAUGCUAGUGUUCAUGCAGGUUUGUUACAGGUAUGUAAAGUUGCAAGUCUACCCAUGUCUUCAAGAUUCACCCCAAAUGACAGCUCCUUCCAUGACAUUUAAGAACUCUAGUUCAUUGUAGCUCUUAACCACUUAUCAUACCCCACCAUAGCACUUCAGGGAAAAAAAAAUAAAUCAUCUCAUUCAUCUUGUCUUGUCACAUAUAAAAAUUCAUUUUGUAUUUAUUUUUCUUUUCCCACUAGGCUGUUAACCCCUGGAGGGUAAUGACUAUGUAUUAUUCAUCUCUGAAGCUAAUAUAUGCAGAUAUGCAGAGCAAAUAUUUGUUCAAUUAAAUUAAAUUGAAAUGUGAGAAAAGGGAGUAAUCAACUAAAACUGCUAAGUCUUACAAAAAUUCUACAAGGUGCCACUCUCUGGCUUUCUAUUAUCCCUGGAGUAAAUCAUAAACAAUUGUCCAGAUGGAUUAGGCACAUAUAAUGCAAUGUAUGGUUUUUAAUAUAUAAUAGAAAAGAAGUUAUUUUGAAUUGAAUUUUGAUGAUUCUUUGUAGUUUUCAUGCUCAAAUUCAUACUUGAAUAUCAUAUUUAGAAGCUAAGUAUCCCAGAAAAAUGUUUAUGAAUUUAGGAAAAAAAAUAUUAUUUGUAUGUGUUGAACUUGAAUUUACAUUAUUUCAUGUGGAUCUAAAGAUAAAAACACCGUGUCUCCUUUCAUGUAUAAUAACAUGUAAGACAUUGUUAUUAUGGUUAAUACUAUAAUAAGGUUGGCUGUGUGGAUUAAAGUAUCAAUGUUUAUUUACAAAAGAGUGGUAACAAAUAAAUGGAACAAUUCUUUAUGUGAAUUCUGUCAGAAUAAAGGAAGUGUUAUUUUUGGUACUUCGUAUAAUGCAAUUUGGUAUUCAUGCUGUUUGGAUCUUUGAUAUUAUCUCAACCAGCAAAAGUAGAGUUGUUAUUAGUUUGAGUCAUGCUUGAAAGAAUCUCUGAUUCCACCUUAGUCUGUUUUAAUUGGUAAUGCAAAUUUAAAACAUGGUGAACAGAUAUCCCAAUUUUAGUUUCCUAUAUAGAAAAAAACAUAGGAAUUAAGGGGUGGCGGAAAGUCUCUUUGAAGCUAAAUGCAUUUUGCCUAAGUGCAAAAUGGGUUUUCUUUUCAUCUGACUUGUACAAGUCACUAUCUCCAAUGCUGAUUUCAUCUAUUUUUUCAACUGAAUAAGUUAUUGGGAAGGAAGGAAAGACCUUGAUCAGUCUUUACUAAGACUGAUUGACUAAUUCAAUUUCUUCCUUCCUCCCUCCACUCCUUCCUCCCUCACUCCUUUUCUUCCUUCCUUCCUUCCUUCCUUCCUUCUUUAUUGUUACUAUUUUUUAGCUCAUUGCUGACCAUUCCAAACCUGGAGUUUGAAUCUUAUCAUUUGAAAUGCACACCUUUGCAAUGUCUUCAUUUUCAGUUCUCUGGUCACUUCAUUGCCAUCUAUUUGGCUAGGCCUACAAAGUCCCUCUAGGGUUUAUGUAGGCAACAAAAAUAAGUGUACCAGAACACGUAUCAGCCAACGCACAUGGUUGGAAUAAGAGAAUUGAUCCUAUGAUCAAUAUAUGGGCUACAAAGGCCACUUCUAGUUCUAGUCAAAUUUUCUAAACAACUAUAUAUACCAGUGACCACAAUAUCCAAACGUUUGGCAAGAUGAAUAUUGGAAUGUUUAUGUGAAAUGGCAUGGUUUUGAAUAUUAUCUUAAAAUUUAAAAAGAAAUAAAGAAAACCAUAUUGAGUCAAGCCAUGACAUAUGCAGGCAAUUUUCCACCUUUGCCUAGAUUUUUCAUCCAUAUUUGUUCAAUCAAUAAAAACCAUAGAGUUCCAGGAUGAAUAGGGAAAUAAUAGAACAUUCUCACUCUUGUGUGCCAUCCACUGUUAGGAACUUCACAUAAUAUUUUAGGAAGGACUUCACUAAUAGCAACAAAUCUAGAGACUUACCAGAUAAACCUUAUCUUUGAAUUCUAGAAAACAGAGAAAAAGGAGAAGUGAAAAGUGAUAAAAUAACCUAAGGAGGUGUUGUUAAAUGUAUUUUCACAUGUUUUAUGAUAGUAAUUUAUUACCAUCUUUUCCCUUUAUUCAAAUUUCCUGCAAAUCUUUUGCUUAUAUUAAUCUCAAAAUGGAAAUGGUGGAUAAAGGUAAUGGAUCGAUAGGAAGUUAAAUGGCUGGGAAAAUAAAAAUCAGAAAUGCAAAUUUUGUCCCAUGAUCCCUGUUGAAUAAACGGGUCCACGGACCCUUCCCUGGGUUGUUUUUUAUAUUUUUUCAUGUUUAAGAUUGACUCUUUUUUAGAUCUCUCCUGCUUUACUUUUGGGCAGAUUCACCUUUGCCUCUUCUAUUUCAAUUCUUUUUUAUACAAGCACAUAUUUCACUGCCUUCAGUGGUAUUUACUUAUAUUACAAACAUGUCUGUCUUCCUUAGUAGAAUCUUGAGGCCAAAAAUAAUAUCUUUAAACGUCCUUUCGAAAGCCCAUAAACUUAAAAAUGAUUUGCAAGUAUAGCAUUGUUAUGAUUUAAAUAUAAGGUAUCCCCCCAAAAGUUUGAGUGGUAGACAAUGCAAGAAUUUCCAGAGCUGAAAUGAUUAAGUUAAAACAGCCAUAACCUAAUCAAUGUAUUAAUCCAGGUAGAUGUAUUAACUGGGCAGAAUCUAUAGGCAGGUAGGGUGUGGGUAGAGGAGGUAGGUUGUGGGGGCAUGACAUUGAGAUUUAUAUUUUGUCCCUGGUGAGCAAACCUUCUCUCUGCUUCUUGGUUGUCAUGUCCUGAGCUGCUUUCCUCUGUAACACCCUUUUGCCAUGACAUUCUGCCUCAUAAAUAAACUUUUCUUCCUCUAACUGUUCUUUUUGGGUCUUUUGGUCAUGGUGAUAAAAAAAAAAGCUGACUAAUACAAGUAGAGAAAACUUUCUUAACUACUUUACCUCAACUACAAACAAGGAUAUUUUUCAUAGCAUCAAAAUAAUAACAACAACAACAACAGUAUCAGGUGAAAUGAACAGAAUUGUAUUCUCUGCCCUGAAAUUCAUAUAUUGAAUCCCUAAACCCAAUGUGAUAGCAUUUGGUGGAGGGACCUUUUACCACUUUCAGAGGUGAUUAGGUGUACAUAAAAUCACAAGACUGAAGCCCUGGUAAUGGGAUCGGUGUCCUUAGAAAAAGAGACACCAGAGAGCUAAUUGUGUCUCUCCACAAUGUGAGGACACACCAAGAAUGCCAUAAUCCGAAACCAAGAAGAGUAUCUUCACUGGGGAAUCUAAUAUGAUGGAGUCAUGAUCACGGAUUUUAUAACCUCCCAAACUGCAAGAAGUAAGUUCCUCUUGCUGAAGCCACCUAAGCUGUACUAUCGUAUUAUGGUAGGCUGAAUUGAUGGGAAAUAACAUUGAUACAUUGCUACUAUCUGAUGCUCACGUCCUGCUCAAGUUUCAUCAGUUGAACAAAUAAAUUCCAAUUAAUGUACUUUACAGUAUAAGAAUUUAUUUCCAAUUGAAGUUCCCUGUUUGGUAUUCAUAUUUUAUUAGUCUUCAUUAAUAUAGAAAAGUUCCGCAGACUUUCCUUGACUUGCAUGACCUUGAUAUUUUUGAAGAUUACAUACCAAUUAUUUUAUAAAAUGGAUUUAAUUUGACUCUUAUGCAGGGACCAUAUCUCAUGUAAAUUUGGAUCCCAGCAUGUAGGAUAGUGUCUGGCAUAGGAUGGUGGUCAAUAAAUGCUAAUUAAGGAAUGAAUUAGUGACUGAAAAUGUCUGCUGCAAAACAGACUCUGAAUCACCUAGCUUAUGCUAAAAAUAGCUUAGCUAUUUUUUUAAAUAUUGCACAUAUUUCAGAUAGAAAAAAACAACAACUCUCAUAUUGAGAGUCUAUGUCUUCUAUCAGCAGUGAGGUCUUUCUUUAAUCUGUUUAGUGAGCAUGUGUCUUCUGGCCAUUGUGUAAAAUAAUGGUAGUUCUUUAGAGCAGUGUUCCUCAAAACCUGGUGUAUGGACUGCUUGCAGUUCAAAUGUGGCUUCUGGAUCAUUGUGAUAAAUGGAGAGAAACUGGAUUAAAAAGUUAGGAACUUUUUUAACAUUUUAAUAAAGUUAUUUUUGCUCAAUAAAAUGCUUCAAAAAUGACUUUUUUAUCAUUUUGUUACACUUCUCUGGCUAUUAAUUUGGACUGUCUUCUCCAUAAUUAUUGAUCAAAAAUUAGUUGAAAAUUUAAAAAAUGUCAUAAUUUAUCACAGUUUUUAAUUAUUUUCCAUGGCUUUAGGGUGAUGAAAGUAAAGUGGUAGAAAUAUGAGUUAGACCAUGUUGGGACUUGGCUUAGAACCUGAAGAAUGAGCAGGAUAUAUCUAGAUUAUAAAGUAGAGAAAUGAAAAAUUUACAAAUAAUAAGAUGUAAGCAUGCAUGUACGUGUGCUCUUGUACAUGGACUUGUGUUUGUACUGUCAAAUGUGUCAGUAAAUUUGUGUUUAAGGUUUUCUCUGCAUGUAUGCUUAUAUGUCUAUUCAUAUAUGCUCUGUGUACCAGUUUUUUUGGAAGUUGUGUUCAGGAAUGUCAGCUCAUAGAACUGGGUGAACUUGUUCUUACCUUUAAGUUUCUUAACUAGAAAAUAAGCAUCCUAUACUAAGUGUUUAUCCUAUUUCCUUCUUUUCUGGUGUAUCUGAAGGUAUGGAGGAAGGCUGUCAGGUCUAAAACCAAUGUAUAUUCCACUUCUUCCCCAGGAGCCUCAAGUGACAGUAGAAAUCAUGGUUUCAAUACAGAGUAAUCUUGAUUCCUCCUACUUUUGAUUUAAUUUCAUCCCAAAACAUUGGUUCUAGUAGCACUUUCCUCUAUAGAACAUUCCCUUGUUCUUCCUUUCUUUUUAGAAUGCAUUCUUUCCAUGAACCAGCAGAAGCCCAGAAUUCCUACUGUGGCAGAACACUAAUGAGCUGCUAUGACCAAGACAGUGACCAGUGAUAAUAUUAUCACAUCUAGGUGACAGUCUGUGCACAGCUUUCCAAAGAUUUAAGUCAAGGGGGAAUAGACGUAGAUAGAAUAUGAAAAAUGAUGAAAGACUGGAAUGAGCAUAAUAAUAGGAAAAAAAACUGAAAGGAGGGAAAUAUAUUAUUGAUACAAAUUUAAUCUACAUUAGCAGCCUUCAAUCUCAACACUAAGCUUAAUUUAAAGUAAAUUUCUUAAACAACCAUCAUAAUACUCUGGGCUUAGGAAAUAAAUACAAGAAUAAAACAUGAGAACUUGCUUUUGAAUGAUCUUACUGUUUUGGGUAAGAUAAAUGCAACCAUGAUUAUGAUGUGGGUCAUUGAGAUAUUGGUGUAUUCAUAGAGGAAAGGUCAUAGACCUGCCUCCAAGCCUUCUUGGGGCAGAAAUGAUGCCAAUGAUGGUUUCUGUCAUGGGCAUCAUUUCUGCUGCAACUUGAAAAUCAAGAGUUCAAUCUUGGUACUGUACAUUGUGGGUAUUUAAUAAAUAUUUAUUGAAUAAAAGAACAAUGUAAUUUAUUAGAAUUAGCUGACAAAUUAGAAGUAAAAAUAAAUCAAGGGAAAGGAACUAAGCAGAGAUGUAGAAACAUAAACCAACCUGGUGAGGAGGAACAGGGACAGAUCAAUGGUUCCUGGUGGUGGAGUAGGAACUGUCUGAUAGGGAUGGUGAGUUGAGAAUAGAAACAAAAGCAGAAGCCAGGUAAUGAAGAUCUGCCUCAGCAAUGUGAGGACUCUUGGCUUUAUCUUCAGGUAAAGGGAGUGUAACAUUGUGGUUUUAGUUGUAGUUUGACUGUAGGUUACUGGCUUCUGCGGGAGGCAGGGCAGACAUGGUGAUACUAAUUCAGAUGUUAUUUCCCCAAUCUUGACAAGAAAGAUAAAGCCUUAACACAGAACAAUAAAGGAAGAGAGGAAGAAUAGGGAGUGGUAUUGGUGAAUGAUUGAUGAGACAUUUUAAAAAUCCAAUCAGAGAAACUUUUCAGGAAUUACUGAAUAGUUGAGGGGGAGAGGUAAACUGAGUAUGAAGAGAAAGAGUGAAAGCCCUGAGUUUUCGACUUGUGUUCCUGGGUGGAUGAUCCACUAAAUGAAACUGAGGUCCAUGGUAGGACAAGAACUAUUUGGAAAGUAGGCAGGAACAUAAAAAGGAACCAGGUUUUCAGCAUUAAAUUCGAGAUUCCUUUUGAGAAAGAGAGAAGGUCAAAACUAGAGAAAAGUGUGUAUGUGCUUUUGUAUGUAUGUAUGCAUAUACAGCAAGAGUUCUCUGUGCCAAUUUGGUCUGCACAGAGUCAUGUAAAAGCUUCACUCUCUCAUUAACUUACUGCUGUCAAAUUAAUUUAUUGCUUAAAUAUGCGAUUUGAAACUCCAGUAAUUCAUUCCAUAUUUCAAAACGUACCACAAAUAGAGAAGAAUGCUGUAGCUUAAAACUGGUUCCAGACUUGUGAAAACAUCAUGUGUCUCUACUACCAAAGCAAAUAGGAAAACUGCCAGUUACAUGCCUGAACCUGCUUCGGUUUCAAUUACCUGGAUUAUUGAGGCAGAAACCACCUUUGUGCCUGAUUUACCCUUGUAAUUGUCUUAUUCUUCUGCUUUGCCUUGCUUUGGGCAUAUUUCUCUGUUCUGCUAUUAUUAGAAAGGAAAAUUCACUUCCUUUUUUGGUGCUUCCAGGAAAAAAACAUUUAAAACAUACUUUAUAAUUCACAGAACUAACAUUUUGUAAGCCUCUAUAUUUAGAGAGUAGUUUGCUGAGCAAAGGGAAAACGUUAGCCAGUUUUCACCUCACUAUCUAUCUGAGUGAUAGGUUGGUUACUUCUUCAUCCUUUCUUAUAGCAAAACUCAGUGAUUCAAUCCUUUCAGUAAUGACCAUUGAACAUCUCUUGAUACAAGAUGUGCAAAGGGACCAAAUAUACUCUUAAACCUUUCAUACAUGGUAGUCAGUGUUGUAUAUAUCUGCAGCCAAUUUAAGCAAUUCAAGCACCUACAGAGAAAAUCAAAUUUGAUUAGUGUCAAUAGGAAGAGAAGACUUAUCCAUCCACCCUCCAACUACACCCUGAGAUUUUCCAUUACAACCCCAGAUCUAAGGGUUUCAACCAAAUGGACACCUUAACAGCAGAACCAUCAUAUCCUAAGACUUAACCCAAAAUACCUACUUAUUAAUUUUUUCAACUUAGUUAUAGAAAAUUCAGAAUGUUAAGAUAGUGCAUAAAUAAAUUAUACCUAACUCACUUUACCUUUUGGGAUCAUCUUUUGUGAAAGAGGUUGACAAAAUUUAUGUGAUUCAUACCUCCCCUUGUAAAGUCAGUGAAAGUGAAUGUCAACUUUUAGUAGUCCAUUUAUUUUAAACAUCUAAAAUGUAUAGAAUCCAAAACACAUAAACCUAAAUUAAACAUUUUAAAAUUCAGAAACAUUUAACAGGCAAAAUUCUUAAGGUGUUUAAGUAGCCCCCAUAACUUAUUUUCAUCUAUUAGUGUGUUUAUUCCUGUAUAGACAUAAUCAAUGGGUUUUGAUCUUACACUAUAUAUUAGAUAUUGUACUGGUCUUUGAAAACUCAGUAAUCAUAAAUCACAUAAUCUAUCCUCAAAGGGAUGUGCACAGAUCUAAUAACAUGGAGGAGAGUCUCUUAUUACUAAAUUGGGAAAAAAUCUUCAGGUAUGGCUUCCAAAAGAUGGUAUGUGAAGGAGGAGAUUUCAAGAGUCAGGCAGACUGACUAAAUGGAUAAGGUGCUUCCAGACAUCACAAACAAAUAACGAUUGCAAGAAAAAUACACUUGAGGAACAAUAAUAUUGUGAGUUUUGAAUGUAGUGGGCAAGUAAGGGAAGUGAAGAUAAAUAAGCCCCUGCCAUGUCACAAUAGUUUUGCAUGCAAUGCUAAAAACUUUGAACCAAAUUUUAAAGACAGGGCAAAAUAAAUGAGUAAAUUUAAGAAUUGGCAUGAGUGGACCAGAUUUACAUUUUUGAAUGAUCUCUGCAAGUUUUUAAAACUGAGAAAAUUUUUAAACGGAGAAAACUAUGUAAAUUGAUCAAGCAGGAAAGGUCAAAGAACAGGAGAGUGAUCCAAGAGAAGAGUGAGAAGAUAGAGCUGAGAAGGUCAUGCAAGAUAUAUUUUAGAUAACAAUUUGACAGGACUUCACCACUCAUAUGUGGGAAGUUAACAUAAGCUGAAAAUCUUGGAGAGCUCCCAAUGGUUUGCAAGAAAGCCUGGGUAGAUGGAGGUGUGAUUAAGAACAGGUUUGGGGGAAUAUCAGAUAAAUCUGGUCCUUUGGAGAAACCUAAGGUGGAAGUAGAAAUUGGAGGUAGUCAGUAUAAAAACUAAGUUAUUUCAUUGGUGUAAAUGGGGUAGUACAAUAGGAUCUUUAAAGAAGGGAGUGAAAAGAAAUUGAAACCAUAGUGAUUCAGAAGAUUACAUAAAAUUAUAAACACAAGACUGGUGUGACAAAAGUCUCACUCCUAAUCUUAAUAUCUUUAAAUAUCAACGUGAAAUGAUUUCUUCUAUAUAUGCCCUAUAUUUUGAAAAACAAGGAAACAUUUAGGAAAAAAAAACUUUUUAAGAUUAAAGAGCAUCAAAACCUUAAUGUUUUUGUACUUCUGUAAAUCUUAUCUUUAGAAAAUGCACUUUAAACUUUGACUCAAAAUGUUCAACUAGUAACUGUUCAAAAUGAGCACAAUAACAUGAUCAAAUAUGUCUAUUUUCUCCUAUCUGGUUUUUAAUUUUUGUUUCCAUAUGAUUUUGUAGUACUCAACUAGUCUGAAGAACAACCUUUCCAAAGUGUUAAGUUUUCAGUGAUUUCACUAAAUCACAGCAAUAUUUGCCUGCUUUAGCUCAUCAGAAGGAAAGUCCAUGACAUAAAAAAUGAAUAGGAGUAAAAAGAAAUCAAAUAUGACCUUAAUAACAUAUUGUUCUACUCCUUUUGUGUUUAAUGUUGUCAUAUGAAUUAGCAUAAUUGAUAAAAGGAGUGAUUUUUUUCCACACUAUAAAACUAAAUUGAGUUAAAUGACCACAGAAAGAAACAUAGUCUGACACGGGCAUUUUCCCCCUCUUUGAGAUUUUAAUAGAUUUUAGGCAGCUAUUAAAUAUUAUAAAAUGUAUUUUAGGCCAAUAUUUUAGUUAAGCAAAUAUUUUAUUUUUAAUUAAACCCAUAAGCAUUAGUAAGUUCUCUGUGGAAUCAAUGUUAGUAAGGGCUGAAUAUCACAAAUAUGACUCAAUUCUAUAGCCUUGAAGUUUUUAAGGAUUUGUUAUUACUCAGGUUUUACUAUAUUUCAUCUUUGUUGUGAAAUUAUCUAAAUAAAUCUAUGAACUUUUAUCAAAACCGGAGGGAAAAAACCUAAUAACUUAAUUUGAUAAUAGCUAUUUUCUAAUUUAUGCUGUCAGAAAAUGUCUCACUUUCAUCAUAAAUCAUAUUUGUCAUUGUAAAACCAUUAUUUAAGUUCAAGUCAUAAAUAAGCAGAUAAAAGACUUUGUCUUUUGUAGCAUUUAUAGUCAUAUUCAAACUCUACAUUUUUUAAAAAAAUUUUGGUCUUAUAAAAAAUGGAAUGUAUGAUCAUUUGAAAUAACUUGAGCAUCAGUUAUUAUUAAUGAGCAUAUUGGAUGGGUAAGACCCUUCCCAGUAUCCACCUCUGAUUCCCCUUCAUGUCCCAUCCCUCUUCUGUCUUUGGUGUGAUAUUUUCUUGACCAGAAGAAGCCACAUACAGCUCUAGCCUGUGUGGUCAAGGAAUGUCAACUGCAUUUGGAAUUCUGCCAAAAGAUAACAUUUUAAAAAACUCUUGAGAUUUUUAAAAAGUGAAACCUAAAAUGAACUCCCUCCCUAUAUUUUAAACCUCCAUAUGUUGUUUUUGUGGAAGGUGGGACAAUGUGCUUCAUAAUCUUUAUGAUUAUGAAGAAAUAUGUCAUCCUACACUGGUAUUUUUAUGAGCUUCUUGAUGCAAUAUUUAAUUAAAAUGAGUCUUUACUUAUUUUAAUAUUGCUCUAAUCUACUUUUGAUGAGAGGCUAUAUCCCUUUUUUUAUAGAAUAUAUUUAAAUUUAGUGUCUAAAAACAAACCACUCCUUAAAUUCAAUUACAAAUUCUGUCUUUCCAGUUUAGAAUUACAUGAACAAUGUUUUAAGUUUAUAGUUUUGUUGAUAAGAACAUAUUAGAAUAUAAAGUUUUGUUAUCUCAGGGUUAAAAUUAGAAAUUUCUGUAUGCAUGAAGGAAAAUAAAAAUUUUAAGAACACUUUUAAAUAUUACUUGCAUUAAGUAAAUGUUCUCUUUGUAAAACCUCACCCUUUAUACAAAAAUGAAUCAGUAUAACAUAUAUACAUAUAUAUAUACAUAUAUAUGUAUAUAUAUUACCAUGAGAAAUUUGUAAAAAUUCCAAAUUCACCUUUCUCUUUCCAAUACAGAAAACUCCUUUUACGUUUAGCAUGUGCUAAUUAGAUAUGCUUAAAAUAUUUUAAUUUUUCUUUUUAAACUAGAUUUCUUUCAUCUAUACUAAUUGGUUGGUAAACCUUUGUAAAUGUUUGACACCACUUUUGCAAUAAUCUUCUUGCUUCCAGUCUUUCUACAUAACACUUCUAAACUGCUACUGCCAUGAUGCUAUCCCCAUAGUGCACUUAUGGCCACUUUGUGCAGAGAAUAUCAAUAAUGCCUGGUUAUCCACAGAAUAAAUUCCAAGUUCUGGUCCAGAGAACUUUCCCUUUUAUAGCUGGUCCCAAUUUCCUUUCUACUCCCUAAAUUUCUCAAUUCUUAAUCAUACACCCAGUAAUUGUAUCGAGCUAGCAUAGUUUUCAGUCCCUUUCCCCUAUAACUUUUUUCUUAUGUUGCUACAAAUUGAAAUCCUAUUUAACAGUUUCAUAUUUGGUAAAUAUUCCCUGAUGUUCAUGUGAAAUCCCUAUCUAAUAUCAUAUUUAGUUUUCUUUUCUCAUGUUCUGGGUGUACAUUGUGCCUGAAAAGUCCCCAUAAUAACAUUUCAAAAGACCUUUGAAAGCAUGACCUACUGUCAUAAGUUUUAAUUACAAAGCAUAAGAUUCCUUUAAAUUUUCAUGUUUUAAGAUAACCCCAGGUCUACAUCUCCAGAACUUUUCAGAAAUGUUUAUAAAAGUUUGGUUGCUGAGACUUAGCAAAACAGCUUACAGAUAUAUAAAAUAUUUGCACCAAUAAAAGAUUAAGAUUAUUUAGAAUAAUUGACAUAAGACAGUUGUGAUCUAUAUGUGUGUUUAAUUCAAAACUUUUGCAAAUUAGCUCUGCAUAACUCACCAAAAAGUAGUUUAGUCAUUUAACUCUAUUUGUUUCUAUAGCAUUCUUGGGCUACACAUAUUCCUCCUCCUCCUUCUUCUCUUUUUUUUUUCUUUAUUUUUUUGGUACCUAGGAUUGAAUCCAGGGGCACUCAACUACUGAGACACAUCCUUAGCCCAUUUUUGUAUUUUUUUAGAGACAGGGUCUUGCUGAAUUGCUUAGGCCUUGCUAAGUUGCUGAGGUUGGCUUUGAACUCUCAAUUCUCCUGCCUCAGCCACCAGAGCCUCUGGGAUUACAGGCAUGCACCACCAUGCCAGGCUGUGUUUUCAUUUUUGAUAGUCUGCCUUCUCUCCAGCCACAUGUGUUUUUUUCCAAGGAAAAAACUUAGAACAUAAUAAUCAAGAUAUGCACCCAAUUUACAAGUAAAUAACUAAUAAAUAGACACCCCCAAUUGAUUUGAUAAUCAGUUCUAUUGGCAUUGUUUAUAAAGAAGUAUAACUUUAAGCUAGAAAGUAAAUCAAGGAUUUUUUUCUUCCAUAUAUUAAGUCACUUAAAUCUUAGAUAUAUUUAUAUAUAUGUAUAUAGUAACAUUUAUACAUAUAAAUGUAUUUAUAUCUUAUUUAGCAUAGAUUUAUAUCUAGUAAUCAGCAAAUUGUCCUAGUCCUUCUUUUAAUAACCAGUAAUGGGUAAAUUAUAAAAGCUGUUUAUAAGAAACCAAGCAGGAAUUUUUAAAUUCUUCCCAUCUUUUUCUUUUAAAUAAUUCUAAAAUAAGCUUGCUAUUACUCUAGUCUAUGUAGAAUUUUAAUUUUUUGAAGUGUUUAUUAAGUUGUGAUAUGGACUAAAAUAAAGCAUAACUAUUGGUUUAGCUGGAUCUAGUAUGAAAACUAUAAUACAUAAAAAUUCUCAAACCAUAUACUGAAUUAUCCAAACAAAAUUAUUGAUUAGAACUCUCUCCUGGAGGGAAUUGAUGUUUUUUAUACUAUUCAGUUUAAUUCAUCUAAAAUAAAUAAAAUGCCCUUCUAGUCAGAAAUGACUUAGGCCUCCUGGUUAAGCACUUUAUUUCCAGAGUUUUCAAACACCUCAGUCACAAGGUUCAAUUCCAAUAAUCUUUGGACCACACAGAUAGCACAGUGUUUAAUACUUGAUUUAACAAAAUAGAGGCAUUAGCACUCACAAUUUUGAUUCUUUACAUAUUGACCAGACUUGUUAAGGCAAAAGAUCAAAGACUCUUUUUUUUAAAAAAAAAAAAAAAGAAAAGAAAAAAAAAAAGCAAAUCUCCAUGCUAGAAAAUGGGGAAAAGCUGAGUCUGAAAUUAAAUCCUCAGCCUCAUAGUUGGCUUUUCAGCAGUUCCAACCUCAAUUUUUCUCUGCAACUCCCAUUUAAAACAAAAUGAAAGUUGCAAAAACUAGGUGCUGUGUUAUAAGCCUUUUUGUUUUCUUCAGAAUAGCAUUUCUCUUUUUAAUCAGCCUGUCUCCCACUUUUAUUACUAUUUUAAUCUCUGUUCUCUUUUAAUUUUUCUUUUUCUAUAUAUCCUUCUUUUUCCUUCCUCUUCUCCUGCAUCUUCCAACUUGAAUCUAAUGUUUCCACCUCCUAACAACCUAGUACUUUUGUCUGUUUGGAAUAAGCACACAUAUACAAAGCUGAGUAACUUUCUCAGAACCAUCUUCCUCUCUUCCACUUGCUUCCUUUAUGAAACUAUAUUAGAUAAAAGUUGAAGGAAUGUUCUCAGCACAGAUUCACUCUCUUGUGAUUCUCCUUAGCAAUUUGGUGUGUUGUUUAUCUAUCUAUCUACAUAUAUCCUUUGACAAAUGUUCAUUAUUAGAAUCUUUCCCUACUUCUAAGUGACUGUUUCCAUCUUUAUAUGACAUGUUUCUAGUGCUUUAUUUCAUAUCACUAUGAAUUACUCUUGCUUUAUUAGACCAAGAAAUAUUAAAGAGUGGUGGAAUACAGAAAAGUCUGAGAACUUAAGUACAAUAGAAACCCAUCUGGCUAGGUGGCAUCAAACCACAGUACUUCAGACCACACAGUGUACUUCAUCAACACUUUAGUUAAACAGACUUUUUUUUUCUAUAGCCAAAAACAAAAUAACACAUAAUCUUCCAAAAAUAUUUUAAUUUUUCACUUUGGGUUGGUACUGUAUUUUUGCCCUAAGCAUAUGUGCUUUAAUCAUAGAAAUGUCUUUCUUAUGCAGGGUAGAGGAUGCCAGCUAACUAGAGAAGAGCAAAUAAAAAACUUUUCAGAAUGAACAGGGCAUUCAUGCAUACACUGGCAGCAAGGCCGGCACUUACUCAUCUCAAAGGACAGUGUCUUUUGGCUAAGACUGCGAUCCUCUCUGCUUUGACACUUGAAAAUGGUAACUGUGUUCAUAAGACAAACUAAACAUUGCCCUUCUUAGUGUGAGGAGACUAUGAAAAAGAGUUCACAAAUUGGAAUUCAUGAAUAAAAUUAUGUACAAUAUUUUUUUUUGGGAAAAAAAAAUGACUCAUUACUAUACCAAGUCAAUCUGAGUUUCAGGCACCAGUACGUUUAGUUUAUUAAGGAAUGAUUCCGGUGUAGUCAAGUCCACGGAAAUGGAUGCCUUCCUGUUACUGAACUUGGCUUUCACUGAAGGCUGCUGAGCUGACAGAGGUUAAGAAAGGGGUCUGUUAGGUACUGCAUCAUUAUGUUCAGAUUUUUCUCAAAGCAACUGAAGCAAAUACUCAGACAAUUUCUCCUCUCUUUAACAUUAAGAUAGAAAUAAGAGUUACUAUUAAAAAAAUACGGGCAGGAAAAAUAACAAGAUUUUAAAUGUAACACUGAGAGUAAUUUGAAGAGAUUAAAAAAUACAUAUAUAUUAGAUAGGUGGAGGUUUCUUGCUUUAUUGGUUGUAGUGAGUUUUUCCUAGGUAGUAACAUAACUGUGAUUUGAUGAAUCACACUGUUCCUUUUGUUGUUGUUGGUUUUGAAACUGCUUUAUUUGAUUUUGAAGUGAGGAAAAUAUCAUAAAAUAAUCUGAAAACAAUCCUCCAAAGCUACAAUGCCACUUAUAAAUAAAUAAAUCGGUCAUCACAGCUCUCCUCUUGCCUUGUAUGCCCCAGAAAAAUACAUUCCAUGACUUUGACCUUUUCAUUUCAUUUCUAUGAGCUCUCAUAUUUUCCCACCUCUAUAUGUUUUGAACAAUCUCUUAAGCUGCAUUUUUUCAGAAUAUCUAGACAUCUCAAUAUAUUAAUAAAAUAUUAAUAUCGACACCAUCAAUAUUUCCAAAACAUUAUCAUUAUCAAUAUUGUUAGUAUUAACCAUAUUAAUAUCAAUAUUUAUUCUACCCCACUCUUCAAAGGUUAUGUGUGAUUAUGUGCAUGUAUACAUAUAAGUAUAUCUACACACAAAAAAAAAAACCAAAAAGGCUUCUAUAUAUAGAAAUAUAUACUUUUGGUAUAUUCCAAAAGUAUUGAGAUAGGCAGAUUAGAUUAUUACGCAUGACAGGACAGGAUAGAGUCAUGUGGACACAAGAAAAAGUAAGAUCCAGAAAAAUUGAAAAUCCAUCUAGGAGAGCUACCAUUGGACUCUUUCUUGCUGUUUUGUUUGGUUGGCAAAAUUUACAAGUGAUUUCUAUGUUUUUAAAGUAGUAAUUACAAAAUUAGAAGUGCUAUAACUUCUGGCUUUAGAAUAUCACUUCUUUAAUAAAAGUCUACAAAAAAUCCAAUGGUAACUAAUUUCUAGAAUUGUACAUAAUAUUUAAGGAAAUGUACAGGCAAGAUAAUACAUUGAAUUUCUUAUAAAAGGACAAAAGACUUUCAAAGUAGUUAGAUCUACCUAAUACCCACUAGGGCAGUUUAACAAGAAUUGAUCACCACUGAGGAAUGUGGCACUUUUUACUGACCACAGAGCUUGAAGAACUUUAAUUGCUAGCUUAUUUGGUUUAAAAGAAUGAAAAGAAUCAGAAACAGCAUACAAUUCUUCAGCAAUCCAAAAACAAUACUUUAAUAAAGAAUUAUUAAUGAUACACUUAUUGCCAAGUUCCCUGUACUUAUUAAUAUUAUUAUGCUAAUUUUUGAGUAAAUAGCAAAAACUUUUAAUAGCAUGUGAUGUGUGGGAUUUAUUUUCUACAUUUUUUUAACAGGGAUAGGUAUGCACUUUGAAGUACACAGAAAUCAAGUUAUUUACAUAUCUUCUGAUGGUUCUCAAACAUUGUACUACCUACAUGUCUAGAAACUCAAAAGUUGUAAGAAUUUUACCUUCUAUAGUAUAUAAACAAGUAUAAACUUUCAAGGCAAAAAAAAAAAACACAACUUUUGGGGGUUAUAAUUUGAAAAUGACUUCCAUUACUGGAAAAGAAAGAACAAUACUUUGUGGGUUCAGUAGUAGGUAGGAAUAUAAUGCUCUGAUUUUUUAUGGUUUAUGGAAAUACACUACCACUGAUCAAUACAUAGCUUUUUACUGCUGCUGCUGUAUUUUAGAUCAUUUGUCAUAGUAAAAGUUACUAAAGUAAUUAACACAGUACUUCUCAACCAAGUUUUGGUAUAACUAUGGGAAUGUCUCUAAAACACAUGAAACAAUCUUAAAUAAUAAAAAUACAUCAAAGACAUCAACUGGCAUGUGUUAUUGGGGAGAUAGUCACUGAGCAGAGAUGGGGUUUCAUGAUGAUAGCAAUCAUGAGCAAGUGGCUGGUGGCUGGAUCAGGUUUAUAAUAUUGAAGAUCAUGAAGAACUUCUCUAGUGAGCCAAGUCAGAGUGGAGGGCAUUUUGUAUAAGCGGAAUCUCCUGAGUGAAAGAUUGCAGUUCCCAGUGGACAUAACCUUUAAUGAGAUGUAAUGGCAAGGUGAGUCUGAGGUUGCCAGGAAAGAUGGUUACUUGAGAAUGAAGGAAACAGUUUAUGUGUGGCUUUGACAUCUAGAUUGAGAGGUUUACCUUCAGCGUGGUCUGAAAUAGGGACUCGGAAUCGAUUUUUACGCAGAGUUAUAAGAUAAUGAAAGCAGCAUUUCAAAUGGACUGGCCCAGAAGUACUAUGCAAUAUAUGGUGACGGAGGGUGCAAGGUGUGGAGCAGUCUGGAGCCAUGAAAGUUCCUAGGAAAUGUUUCCAGUAAUGCAGGUGUGAAGUGAGUGAUAAGCUCUUAGCUUCAGGUGGUAGCAAUUAGAGAGGAAUAAAAGGAAAGGAUACCUGAGGCAUUUAAUUUAUAAUAACACUGUAUAUCUAUAUUUUAAUCUCAUAAGUAACCCACAUGUUUGGUCUCACGGUUGUUGGUUUAGUUCUGUGCAAAAAAAAAAAAAAUAUGUUACCACUAAUGUAUUCCUUAUCUCUCAGUUAAAGGCAUUAUUAAAAACCCACAUUGUUCUGCCUAUAUAAAGACAUUAGUACACAGUAUUACAGAUCCGCUAAGAGCAUGCACUUUGAAUUGUUUUCCAUCCAUGGCAGUAGAAUUUGCUGAGACAGACACACACCCCAGUCCAUCUCCAUUAUCAACAAAAGCUGGCACUUUUGAGAUUGUCGACAAGGAUUAGUGACCCAUUUGAAGCCUGGAACUGAAAGCUCUGUGUCAAACAGAAGGUAACUGGUACAUAUGGGGUUCUAUCCCCUUAUUAAUGCCAUCUACUGAGCCACUGAAACAAUCUACCAUGUGUUGUAAGGAAGGGAAACUAGUUGCCAGAAAGAUGGCAAAGAGUAAAAUGAACCGGAUUUCUUUUUGAGUUCUAUGUCAAUGAAUUCUGUUGAAUUUUUUCUAAUUCUCUACAUUGUCAGGGCACAGGCUCCUCACUAAAUGAACAGCAAAUUUCAUGAGGACAUGAGAUUUGAUGCUGGAAUAAAUCUCUUGUGAAUGAUAAAAACAUGCAUUUCCCGUUUUAAAAGUUUUGACUCAUACUGUGCAUAACAAUUGUAAUGCCAUUUAGAGGUCAUUUAUGAGAUGGCAAUAUAAGCAUGAUAAUUCUUUCCACAAAGUGGAACAUUUCAUUCUUUCUCAUCAAAAAGUGGAGACAUAUUUUGUAAUUGCAAGCAGUGUUCUGUCAUUUGCUUGUUUUUACAAUUGUACUAAUCAAAGAAUUUCAACCAUUGCAUUUUGCUUUAUGGCCUCUAACCUAAGAAAAUAAACAUAGGAUGAUUUUCAUAUGUGAACAUCACAUAAAUUGCAUCAGUAACAUUCUGGUCAAUUCCAUUUGUCCUGUCAUUUGAACAAUUGAUUCCCUCAUAUCCAUGAUCUGACAAUUAAGUGAUUCAAAUAAGCUAUCCAAAAAAAGAUUACUUUUAAUAUGUUUUUUCCUCCUUGGACAACCUUAUAUCCAGUCUCUGUGUAUUCAUUAGGCUAUUUUGCCAGUUAUACCAACUUGAAAAGAAUAUUUUUUUAACGUAAUAGAUAUUUAUGGGUUAUGUUUCUGUAAUCAAAUUAUCUCUGUUGUCAAUCAAGGAGAUAUUCUAGAGACAUGAGUAAAAUAUUGAGUGAAUAUUAUUUAAUGAAUCAAGUAGGGCUCUUUUAACCUUGUGGUUGCAAUUUCUAUUUUAGAAAGACACUAGAGACCCAUAUUUAGAAAUCUCUAGGAAUUUGCUCUGGGCAAUAUAGCACUUUCAUUUUAUAAAGGGAAGGAUAAAGCUUCUCUUUUUGAGUUGAACUUGCCUAUAUAAAAAAAUGUGUUCUGUCUUUGGUAUGAUCCUAACAGGUAGCCUAAUCACCUUGGGUUCUAAAAUACCUAACAAAGCUUGAUGGGGGGAUACAGAUUUAAACUAUAUGGGGAGUGCUUAGUUUGGGGCCAAUUUAUCUAUCAGUUUCUUGCAGAUAUAAUGAUAAUUAAAGCAUAAUUAUCAAUGUGAGAAUUGCUGCCUAAAGAAAAAAGAAAAGGCUUCUUUGUUUAUGAUGAUGAGGAGGAAAGUUGUAAAUAGUUUAGAUGAGUUCAUGAAAUGGAAGAAGUAAACUGGUGCCAGGACACUCGGGGUAAAGAGGCUCAUAUAAAUACUGAAAAUAGCAAAUGAUGCAUAAAUAGCACAGCAACAUUGAAUACAUAUUUUGAUAGUUUGGGUGACUGUUUCACAAAAUGAAUGCUCUUGAGCAGGCAAGUAUAAAGCAUAUUUAAACUGUCAGAUGAAAAUACAAAGACCAAGAAUUUUCUGUACCAGAUUAUAGCAUAUGAAAAGGAAAAUUCAAAUAAAGUUUCUUUUUUUUUUUACAUAAACCCUUGAGAUAGGUCAAUUUUUAAAAACACCAAUUAUGCUGAAUUAUUACAAAUUGACUUGGUAUAGAUUUAAAUCAGGAACUUAAAGUUAUUACUCUAAAUAUGAGCAUAAAGUUUACCUGAAAAUUCUUCGUGUAAAGAAUUUAUUUCCAUAAGAAAAUCAAAAAUAUAUAAAAAAGGUCUUUUGAGAAAUACUUAAAUUUCACAAGUUAGACAUUUUAUAUUAUGAUUUAAUUUUUAUUCAGAGAAUGUCAGACAAAGAAUCAUAUGUAAUUUUUAAGUUCAAAAAGGAACAAAUAUUGUCUUAUAAGCAGAAAAAAAUAGGAGGUCAAGGCAUAUUUUACUUUUGAUUAAUUACCGAUAAUAGAGUAUUGGUCAUCCAAGUAGCCUCAGGAUAAUGGAGCAAACCCUUUAUAUUUUGUUUUGGUUUUGUUCAUUUGUUUCUACUGAUCUCAGAUUACUUAGAUAUGAAUUCUCAGGACACUCUGGCAGUAAUAAUUUUUAUUGGAAAAUUAUUUCACUGUACUUCUUUAAUUUUACAAUUUCUUUUUCAAGAGAGUACACAUUUCAUUAUAGUAUUUCAGUAUAAUAGGAAGAGACAAUGCAAAUACAGAAGUAAAAGGUGGUCAGUGGGUGAAGGAUAUGAAGAUCUUUAGAGAGACAUUAAGAGACUGCUUCAUAAAUACAAGCCCAGUAAUAAAAUCAAAGGCAACUGAUCAUAAAUGUUGCAACCAUCUACUAUCAGAUAUCCACAGGAGAGCUUAAGAGUGCCACUGGAUAUUUGACACACAGUUGUUAGUGGAGUAUGAUGCUUUCUGAUGAGUAGGAGGGUGACAUCAGUAUAUAUUUUAUUUUGGACUAAUUUUUUUUUUUGCAUUUAGUUACCACAGUGAUAUUCUGAUUUCUGAAAAAGAAAGCAAUGAGAAUUUUUUUUUACUAACAAACAUAGUUAAUAGAGUCCAUCCAAAUUUAUUCUAGUGCAUUUUGAUAAUAUUUGUCAACCUAUAUUGUAAUUCUUCAAGAAGUAGACUCAGCAUGAUAAUUGUGCAUCUGUGGUUAAUUAGCUCAGUUGGUUGACUCAUGGAGCUAAUGAGGCCAAAGCCUGGGUUUGUUCCCUGUGUGGGCCAAUGAGUUUUGCUCUUUUGCUGGGUCACAGACUACAGUUCAAACACAGGCCAACUAUCUCAUAACUGCAUGCCACUGACCAUAAGGAAACUGGGCCAAGAGAAAGGAAAUUCAACAGCAAGCCUGGAAAUAGAUCUUUAACUCUACACAGUAUCUAUUUGUUAAUGAUGUGUCAGAAAUGUUCAUGUAUGAAGAAAGCAUUAUCUAUGCACUCAGUAUGCUGUGAACAACACAUAGAAAAUGUCCUGUGGCCUCAAAUGACACACUGAGAAUUAAAUAUUUGUAAUCACAAAUUGAAUCUAUUUCAAAUUACAAGGCAAGCAAAAUGCCUGUUUUUCACAUUUUCACAUUUUGAUUUUUUUGCAAGAUUUUGUUUGUUUGUUUGUUUAUUAAUUUAUUUUUUAGUACCAGGUAUUGAACCCACUGGUGUUUAACCACUGAGCAACAUUCUAGCCAUUUGCAUUUUUUUAUUUUGAGACAGGAUUUUUGUAAGUUGCCUAGGGCCUCACUAAAUUGCCAAGGCUGGCUUUGAACUUGGUGAUCUUCUCUGCCUCAGCCUCUCAAGCCUCUGGGAUUACAGGUGUGUGCCACCAUGCCUCACUAUGUCCAGCAGAUUGCAAGUGCCUUUAAGGAGUCUGAUUAGCACCCUACAGCCUACUGUGAGUUCUGAAUCAACUAUGAAAUAAGACAAAGGAAGGGGAGGAGAAAGCAGAUGGAAGGUCAAAAUAUCAAAUUUGUGUCAGAUAAAAACUAGAUCAUGUGGCAUAGCUUAGACCCACAGAUAAAUGAGAUUCUUUAUCACUAACCUCAAAAUUUUACCCACCCUUUCAGACUAAGAGAACACAGUCUCUCCAAAUGGGACCGACUUCAUUUUGCUUUCUGAUAAUUAUUUUGUAGGGAAGUCAUACCCCAAGAAAAAUAAAAAGGGGAAGAAUUAAAUGGCCAAUGUAAGACAAAAAGGAAAAAACAAAAACAAAAAGUAUGACUUACUGUAUAGGUGCAUUAUGGUAAAUAAUUGUAAAUUUAUUGAUAAUCAAUGUAGUUACAUAGUGUAGUGGUUUUUCCCAGUGGUUCCCUAAAUUUUUAAGUGUGGAUGGUUCCCAUGGUAUCUGCCAUAUUGUAAUCAUAAAUACCAUGAUCAUAAAGAAAUGUUUUGCUUGGAAAUAUCUACAUACAUAAUGGAAAGGCCAAUUGAAAAUACACAUAUUUGCAGAAGUAAUUCAUUUUAUUUAUUCAUUAUCAUUAAUGAUAAACUGAACUAUGUAACAUUAGUCUAAUAAGAUAUUUUAUUUCUUAAAAAAAAUGUUCUGUGGUCAAGUAUGUCUUUUAAACUCUGUGUGAAUCUCUUUGGGGAUUCACAAUUCACUUCAACUCUUCAAUGUUUGACUUUAUCACAGAGUUUCCCAUAAGUGGAUAGGGAAUCCCAUAUAACUGCAGUCUAACAAAUUUAAGUUUAGGAAACACUCAUCAAAACCAUAGUGUGAUCAAGUUAUUUGUAUUAAGGCUUUAGAGUAGUGUAUUACUAAUGAAGAAGAGAGAAUUUAUUCUUAAAUUAUGUUUUCUUAAAAAAAACUAUCAAUAAAUGGUAUUUCAAGUGGAAAUACUGUUUUAUUUGUUUAGACCUAUCAGAAGCAGUUUGGUAUUUUUCUAUUUAUUAUAAGCUAUAAAGAAAAAAAUUGUGAAUAUGUUUUCAUUGCUACAAUUAUAACUUUGAACAUGAAUGACUACAACUAUAUUAGUAAUUUUUUACAAUGCUUUUUUACAUAUAUUUAUUUAUAUGUGUCUUUAAAAGCAAAUCCCACAUUUGACAAUUUCUUUCAGAAUGUUAUUUUAGUCAAUGAAGAUAUUAUUCGGUUUAAAUUUUAUUGUAAAACUAUAAUGCUUUGCAAGCAGAAGAGCUGUCUUGGAAAAUUAACUGGUUUAUGGAAGUGAGAACAGCUAAGUAUUCAGGGAUCUGACUAAUAAUUAUACAGUAUGACUUUUGUUGCCAGGCAUUCUUUAAAGUACUGGUGACAUAACAGCUAUCCUUGCCUUCAUGGAGUUAACACUCUGAUGCAAGAAGCUAACUCCUCCUUCACUUCUAAAAUAUUUUGGUUAAAUAUUCAUCCAAAUAUAAAUAAAUAAAAUGCUUACCAGUAUGGGAUUCUGAUCCCCCAAAUAGUUUUUGUCCAGCAAAUAAUAUAGACAGAAAGAUUUAGUUGGUUGAAAACAUGUGUUUAUUCUUUUUAAAGCAAAGGAAUAUGUUAUGUCAGUACAAAACCACCAUUAACAUAGUUUAGAACCUAUAGAAAUCUCUCCUUAUGAAAAUAAGUUAUGAAAUAUUACUGUUUGGGUCCUUUGCCAAUGUGAUUUUCUCCAGGUCUUCUGCCCCAUAUUAAGAAAGUUUCUAAUAAUUAAUUUUGUCUUAGUUACCUUUCUUAUUUAAUUUGCCUGAAUUAUAUGACUGAAUAUAACUGAAUUUCAAUUAUUAAAACAAUAGACUAAAUUAAAUUUAUUUCAUAGUUUGAGCCCUAAAAUUCCUAUACUUGUCAUAAUACUUUAACACACAUGGCAUUUUAUCUAAAUAUGAGGUUUCAUGAUCACCAGCAAGUGCAAGAAUAUAUUUUAUCUAAACUCCAUAUGUCUUCAGUCAUCUUGAAUUAAUACAGAUUCGAACAGAGUGGUUAUUCCCCUAGGAAAGAAAAAUGCUCUGAUAAUUACCCCAGAUUCACAAUUUUCCAUUAAAAUACUAAGUUGCAAUUACUAUUUAAAUAAAUGCAGUGCAGUCUUAUAGGAUAAAUUGUAUGUUUUCUUUUGGCUUUCCUAGGCUUCUAAUUUGCCUUAAAUGAUAUUGUGUUGCAGAUUAACUAAAAUGUUUUUUACAAAGGAAAUAUCAGAAAACACUGUAUAUGUUAAAUAAAUAAAUUUUUAUUUAAUCAAGUUAAAGUGGAAAUUUUGUUUGAAAAUCUUUAAGAAUCCUGCAUGUUACUUGUGGUUUACAAAAAAGCAAAAACAAACCCCAAAACAACUGAGUUUGUAUACAGAUAUUGAUUAAAUUUAUAUCUCUGCCCCAAUUUUCCAUUUAAAAUAGAUAAACGGUUGGAGCUGAGUGAAAUCUGAGAGUCACAUAUAUCUAAGUUAAUGUAAUUCCUCUUUAAAAAUACAUGCAGCCUCAUUAUUUUUUUAUAGAUUCAAUUUGAUCUUUGGAGAAAUUAUGAACAAAAGUGAUUUGACUACAUUUGAAAGGAAUAAAAUUUCAUUUGGAAAGUUCAGAAUUAUAUAGGAAUAUCUACAAGUAAUACUUUUUAAAAGUGGUCCUUUUUGAGGAAAAUGAUCACAAAGAACAUUUUUUGGUAGGUCUAUUAAUGAUGUUGAUGGAAUUUAAUUCACCCUGAAUUCUUACUGAAUGAUUUCCCAGAACUUAUCACACAGCAGAACUCCAAGCAUUCUUCUUGUUCUUCCAUGUAAAAGACAUAUUUAGUCCACAUAAUCAAGCUUUCACCAAACUCAAAAUUAUUUACAAAUUUUCAGUGAAUUUUAUCCUUCCUGCCAAAAAAUGUACAGUGUGUUUGAAACUAGACUAGCAAUAUUUGGUACAAUUUUUCAGGAAAAAAAAAGUAUUUUGUGUGCAUCCUCCUCUUCCUCCUACCUUCAGGAUGCAGCUGGGUAGGAGGGUGAGUGAAAAAGGUUGUGGAGAAAGAGAAAUGGAAUAGACAGGAAGGGAAAAAAAUGCAACAAGCAGAUGUUCUUUUUCUAAAAAUCAGCAUGAAGAUGCUUAGUGAACAAACCUAGCUCUUGGAUAGGAAUCAAAUGAACUGGGUUCCUCAGUUUUGUAUCAAGGAUAUACUCCUUAAGUAUUUUAAUCACUCUGACCUUCAGUUUAUUACUCCGUAGAAGAGAAUAACAGCACCUGCCUUGCUUAAUGUUUAAAGAUGUUUAAUGGCAUAAUAUAUAUAAAAUAUAGCAUGAUAUAAACCUACCAUAAUGGCAGCAUCAUUGACCUUUAUAUAGAAUGCUUCUGGGAAAUUUUGCUAUAUAGCAUUUUGUUAAUAAAUAUUUUCAAUUGUGUGUAAAGCUCUGAGGCUUAAAAAAAGACUCUAAUAGCUCACAUUAUUUAAUUCUUGCUGUGUACUAGACAUGUUCUAUUCCCUUUGGGCAAAUUUAUUUAUUUAAUCUUUUCAACAACCCAAUGAGGUAAUUAUUGCCUUUGUUCCUAUUGAAAGGAGAGGAAAGUGCAUACAGGUGGAUUAAAUGAUUUAUCCAGGGUUACAACACAGAAAGGUCCUCGGGUUAACUGGUCCUACCCUCAGUCUCAACUGCACAAUCUUUUCUAUAGGAUCCCUCCAUACAGUUUUCCAGCCUCUGUUAAAAUUUAUCUCAGUAAAUGAGCCAGGGCCUUAUGACAUAAAGAUUGUGUGUGUGUGUGUGUUUUAUAAUUUUUUGGUCUGAAUUUUUUCAUUUUUAACUUGUGCAUAAUAAUUAUAUAAAAUAGUUAGAUUUUUAGUGUGGCAUGUUCAUACCUGUGCACAACAUAAUUUUAUCAAUUUAAUUCCCUACUACCUUCCCUCUUCCCUCCUGCUCAUUUUUUUCCUUACUUAUCUCUUUUCUAUUUUCAUGAGAUCCUUUUUUUUUUCAUUUUCUCUAGUUUCCACAUAUUAGGGAAAACUUAAAACCCUUUGAUUUUCUGAGUUUAGCUUGUUUCAAUUAACACCAUGCUCUCCAGUUACAUCCAUUUUCUUGCAAAUGAUGUAAUUUUAUCUUCUUUAUGGCUAAAUAAAACUUCAUGGUGCAUAUAUACAACUUUUUUUGACCCAUUCAUCUGUUGACAGACACCACGCCUGGUUCUAUAACUUGGCUACUCUGAAUUUUGCUGCUAUAAAUACAGGUAUGCAUGCAUUUCUACAGUAUGCUGACUUAAAUAAUUUGGGGUAAAUACCAAUGAGUGGUACAGUUGGAUAUUUCUUCACACCUUGAAAAUUUAUCUUCUAGUGGGCACAAUUUUCAGACUAAAAAAAACCUGCAGUUAAAUACAGUGAAUAUUAAUGUAUCGUUUGUAAACUAAAGAAAAUGCAAUUAAAUAGUCAACUCUGACCCCAACUCUGGCAGUAGUCAAAGAUAUGUUUGCUAAAACAAUUUUUAUUUUAAGUUGUUGGAUUAUUUUUUAAACCAAAGUAUAGACUCAACAUAUCUAGAUUUUAUUUUUAGUUUAGCUAACUAGCUUUCACUCUUCAGUAUACUAAAAUAACAAACAGAAAUAUAUUCUUUCCUUUUAAACUGAAUUAAAAUAUAAAAUGUUAUAAUUAUUUACUGUAAUCACACACACAUGCUUCUCUUCACAUCAUUUUACAUUCUCAAAUAAUAAGAAAAUAUAUUGUACUAACAAAUAGGGACUUUGUUCAUUAGAAAUUUAUUUCAACAACAUGGUGAAGGUGCAUAAUCUGCCUUGUAGUGUAUUUGAAUUAUAUGAUCAAAAAACAUUUGAUAAUGAUUUUGUUAAUGUAUAUGUGUUGUGCCUGAGAUUUUUAUUUUUAUUUCUAUAUUUUUCCAAAAGUGGGUUAUACUAUUCUAGAUACUACACUAAAAAUUUACUUCAUUGGAUGCCAUCUAAAUACUAUCACACUAGAAUGUCAGACAAAACCUUGCAAUAUAUAUCCCAAAGAGUAUGUGAUUUUUUAUAAUGCUCAAAAUGUAUAAUAAAUUUUGAAAUGUUGAGUUGUUCUUGAUUUUUAAAUGCCAGUCUCUCAAUGUACAUAAAUCAGUUCUAAGUUUUGUUUUCAUCCAUUCUUACCCAACCUUCUCUUUAUACAUGUUCUCAGUCAUGAAUACCACUUUAUAUCUUUAAAAGUUCAUAUGGCUUAACUGUCAUUAUGUAUUGGAAAAAAAUAUUUGGCUUUAUGUUAAAAAACUUUUUGACAUUUUACCAUUUCUUCCCAUCUUAAGCUUUUGGAAGACAAGGGAUUAUUUCUUGCAUAGCAAUUUGCACAUAUACAUUACUGAUUGUUCAUUAAAUAUUAUAGGAAUGAAGGCAACCUUGACACUAUUCUAAUUGCUUCAUUAUCUUUUUUUUCUAGGCUGCAUAAGAUUUAAAUCAGCAAAUGCAUAGUUGGCAAAGGCCCUGAUAGGAAACGGUUGACAUUCUAAUAGAAAUAAAGAAAGAAAACUAAAUGAAACCAGUGAAAUUAAAAAUAACGAUAAAGAAAUACAUUAUAUAAUGUGUCAUAUAAAAUGUAAAAAAGCAAAGAUUCUAACUUAGGGGUAAGCAAUCAAACUCUAUAUUUGAAACACUGUGUGGGCCUUCAAGGAAAGUUUAAGACAAGUCUGGGCAACUUUAUUAAGACCCUCAGCAACUUAGCAAGACUCUGUCUUUAAUUCAAAAAUGAAAAGGACUGAGAUGUAGCUCAGUAGUUGAGUGCCCUUGGGUUCACCAGUAUUGGGGUUAAAAAAAAAGAAAAAUAAAUACAAGUGCACACAGACAUCAUAGUGGGUUGUAGAAUUGAUUACUUCUGACUUUCCAGUUGGCAUUAAUUAACCAUUGUUUUUUGAUUCUUUAAGAUUUCUUAUAUUACUUAGACAUUGCCUAAUCACGUUCUGAUUUCAGAGAAAUAUUUAGUAAAUAAUCCAAUAGCUAAGAGGAAAUGUUAAAGAGCUAUCCUCAAAUUCAAAAGUUCAUGCCCAACUCUGUGGUGGAAUGAGACAUUCAUAUUCAUAGAUUCCAUAUUUACUGAUUCAACCAACCAUAGAUUGAAAAUUCUAAAAAGUAAAAAUUGCAUCUAUACUGAAUAGGUGCAGACUUUUUUCUUAUUACCCCAUGAACAAUGCAGUAUAACAACCAUUUGCAUAACGUUUGCAUUAUAUUAGGUAUUAUAAGUAGUCUAGGGAUGAUUUACAGUGCAUGAGAGAAUAUGUGUAGGUUAUAUGCAAAUACUACACCUUUUUGUAUAAGGCAUUUGCGCAUACAUAGAUUUUGGUAUUCCUGGGGAGAUCCUGAAACUAAUACCCCAAUUACUGCCUCAAACCUGAGAUAGGCUCUUGAAUUGAUUGACUUGACUGGCUCAUGCUCCACUUCCUCCCAAUGGACUUACCAUUUAUUUCAGGUGAUGCAUUUGACAAACUCAUGCAUAUAUUUGAUACCAAGUCAAGAAGGCCCUGAAGGUACUUUCCAUUAAGUGGAAUGGAAUGUCUUGUAUAUUUGUGGCUUUGUUACUUAGCUCAUAACAGAAACUUCCAUUUUGCCAAAUGGAGGUUCUUGUAGCCCUCAUUCUCUUUGAAAUCUGAGUUUACAUUAGGCAUAACUCUUAGGUUAAAAAAGAUGACAGACUUUCAAGACAGCUAUAUGUAGUAUGUGACCCUUACAUAGAAUAGGAACCAGUAAAUAAAAUAUUAUGCAUAGUUAACAUAAAUGCUAUUCUUAAACAAAUUUAAAUUAAUAAGGCAGCAUACAGUUUUACUUGUCUAUAACAUCUUUACUCAAAUUUGUUAAUUUUAAGCAUGAAAUGAUUUAUCUCUUCUAAAUCAAUGUAGCUCCAGGCUUUAUUUGGAAUCUCAUGGAAAGAGAGUAUAUGUGACAUACAUUUUUAAUGUAUUGGCUUCAUUUUUUAAAUUUUUAGAUCAAUUUAUUUCAGACCAUUAUUAUCUUGUUUAUAUGGUCUCAGGGUAUGAUCUCAUUACCCUUAAUUCUUAAACCAGCCAAAGCCCCAAAGAAUCUGCUGCUUACUUUAGGGCUGUCUGUAGGUCUGAGAAUGUCCAAAUACACUCAAGUAACAAAAGAGGCAUUCUAAAAAAUUACAGUAAAUACCUAUAUAUGGUAAUUUAUGUAUUAUGUUGCUUCUCUAGUUUGGAAAAGUAAAAUUGAAAUUUUCAAUUCCACAGUUACUGCAAAAGUAUUGAUUAAAACCCUAAGCCACUUAAAACAUUUAUGUUACCAUUCUUUUCCUCAGUGCAUGAUGGAAAAUGUUAUACUAGCAAGAUCAUACUUGUAUGACUAUCUUCAUGAUCAUAAUAGUUGGAUAACAGAAACUAAUUUUAAACUUAACAACCAAAUUGAUUCACAUAAAUUGCUUAGCACCAUAUCUAUACUUCAGGGGUGCUCUGAAAUAUUAUUUUUGUUGUAUUCAUAUCUAUAUUCUAAAUAUUUUUUAGUAUGAAUUUUAAGUGUACAGAUUAACUCACGUGAAGAAUGACAAAACCUUAUUCUACAGUUGAUAUUUUAGGAAGUUGCAUUUAUUUAAAAUUUCUCAUUCCAAUUUUAGUGUUUAUAUCAGCUCCCAUCUGAUUAAAAAAGGUGCUGGUCAUAAUAUCUUAAUGAGUGUUGGUGUUGAAUUGAUCAUUGGAGUAAAAAAAAAUCUAGCAAUUUAAUUUUUUAUAGUAUAAAAAUAAUCAAAGAAAUGGAGUUGUUCUCUCUCAUUUCACUUUUUAAAAGAAAUCCCAGUAAAUAUUUUCUGAAGACUCAAAAGUGGUCUUUAUUAUAUGAUUUUAAAUGCCAGUUAUGUCUUUAAGCAUUAUAAAAGGAAACCAUUAUGUUUCACAAAAAUAACAAUUCCUUUAGAAGCCCACCUUUUAUCCACAGGACCUUAGUGAAGAACUAUGACUUCAAAAAUAUUAUCUCUUACUAUUCUUAUCCUUACGUCUAGGUUUUGCUUUUAAAUUUCUCUUUGUGCUGGAAUCGUUGUAUUUUUUCCUGAUUUGCUUUAAUUUUCAUCUCCAUAUUAUUGCUUCAGCUGAUUUUUUUUUCUUGCUUUCCAUACUAACUCUCUCCCUCCAGCCACCAUAUGCAAGCAUCUUCUACAACCAUGACACAACACAAUUUCUUAUACUCUUUUUUUUUUUUUUAUUCUGGUCUGAAUAUUUCUGAAUCUUUCAACUGGUUCACCUCAUGUAAUUUGCUCUUUUAAUGAUUUUUAAGGCGUGUAGAAUCAAAGAAGCCCUGAAAAAUAAAUAGUAUUUCUCACUAAAAUUAUGAAGAAAUUUAAAUAAUAGAUGAUCUUGGGGAGAUGACUUUAUCUGAUUUUCUAGUUUAUCACCAGCUCCACAUUUUAACAAUAAAAAUUCUGUUUAACCCAUAAACGGUAUUGAUAAAGAAGAACAUUAAGGGGAAAUUUAUAAUUGGGAGCAGUUAACAAUUUUGGAAAUGGAGAUGGUUAAGAAGAACAUAAAAAAGAAGCAAAACUGAAUGAUGGGACAAUAAAAGAUUCCAAGAAGUAAUUUAGCUCAGAAGUCAGUAAACUACACUUCAUGGGUCAAAUCUAUGACCUGUUUUUUGGAGAGUUACAAAGAAUGGGUUUUAUACUGAUGUAUGUUUGAAAAAAAAAAUUAAGAACAUAUUUUGUAAUGUGAAAAUUGAUGAAAUUUUGUUGUCCAUAAAUAAAGUUUUAUUGGAACUAUGCCAUACUCUUUCAUUUACAUAUUUUCUUUGAUGGUUUUUAUAUUGCAGCAGCAGAGUUGAGCAGUUGGGACACAGCCCAUAUGACAUAUAGCAUGUGAGACAUUUAUUAUGUAGCCAUUGGGGAAUGUUUCUAUUUCCUCAUUUAGAACACUCCCUAACCUGGUUUUCCUAGCUGAUCAAAUCAUAGUUUAUUAACGACUACUCUGCAACUUCAGACCAAAUAAACUAGCAGGCACCUUCCAGUUUUUCCAUUUGAGGUUUUCUUUAUAGUAAAACAAGCAGUUGCAAAUAACCAAUAAAAACAGUGACCUUGGUCUAUUUGUUACUUUACAAAACUAGACUGUUUAGUCUGAGAUAGCUAUAGCUAUAGACCCAUACACAAUUGUAAGAAAUGAAACAGAGAACUGGGGAUGUGGCUGAAGCGGUAGCACGCUCGCCUGGCAUGCGUGCGGCCCGGGUUCGAUCCUCAGCACCACAUGCAAACAAAGAUGUUGUGUCCACCUAAAACUAAAAAAUAAAUAUUAAAAUUCUCUCUCUCUCUCUCUCUUAAAAAAAGAAAUGAAACAGAGAGGUAUGAUGUAUUCUUUAACCAACUUUUCUCAAUGGCAAUAUCUUGAAAACUAUAGUACAAUAUUACAAUAGAAAUAUUAACAUCCAUAUGGUUAAGACACAGAGUAUUUCCAUCACUAUAAGGAUUGUUGCUUUUUUAUAGUCAUACCUACUUUUCUCUCACUCCCACCCUGACCUUAACCCCUGAACAGUUUACCUGUUUUCCAUUUUUAUAAUUUUGUCAUUUCUAAAAUGGCAAAAUGGAAUUAUAUUGGAUACCUUUGGGGAUUGGCUCUUUUCAUCCAAAAUAAUUAUCCUGAAAUAAUUCUGACUAGUAAGUGUAUCAAUAGUUUGUUCCUUGUUAUAGCUAAGUAGUCUGAAUGGAUGUACCACAAUUUGUUUAAACACUCAUUAGAAGACAUCUGUGCAUUUUUGAGUUUGGAGUUAUUUUGGGAAAAAAAAUUAUAAUUGUUCAGAAUUCUGCAUGAAUAUAAAUAGUCAUUUCUUUUGGAUAAAUACCCACAAGUCAAAUUUCUGCUUCAGAAUAUGAACUGGAAGUUAUAUCCUUGUCUUUUAUUUUCUUAGAAACAUUGUACAGCAUUGUUGUUAAGCUUUUAAAUAUGUGUUAGAAUUAUCCAGUGAAACAAUUUGGCCUCUAGAUUUCUUUUUGAGGAAGUUAAAGUACAGAUUCAACUUCUUCGCAGUUAUAGGACUACUCAAAUGAUCUAUUUCAUAGUGGAUAAGUUUCUGUACUAUAUUGGGUCAUUUCUUUAUUAUUAUUUUAUUUUUGAAGAUUUGAUCCAUUUCAACUAAGAUAUUCAAUUUAUACCUAGGAUAGCUUGUAAUUUUCACAUAUUAUUUUUUGAUACCUGGCUGGGCACAGUGGCACAUGCCUGUAAUCCCAGAAGCUUUGGAGGCUGAGGCAGGAGGAUUACAAGUUGAAGACUAGCUUCAGCAACUUAGGGAGGCCCUAAUCAACUUUAUGGGGCUCUGUCUCAAAAUAAAAAAUAAAAUGUGGGGAUGUAGGUCAAUAGUAAAAUACUCUUGGGUUCAACACUCAGUACCACACACAAAAAAGCAAACAAUAUAAUAUUAUUUGUAGGGACUCUAGUGACAUCCUCUAUUUCAUGUCUAAUAGUAAUAAUUUGGAUUUCCUCUUUUUUUGCCAGUCUUGUCUUGCUGUAGGUUUAUCAAUUUUAUUAAUCUUUCCAGAGAAUCAAAUCCUUGUUUUACUGAUUUUUUUCUAUUUUUUUUUUGUUUGUUUUCAACUUCAAUUGUUUGUGCACUUAUUCCCUUUCUUCUCUUAUCUAUGUUAGAUUUAUCUUGCUUAUAUUGUUAUUGGCUUUUGAUAUUGGAGUUUUGAUUAUGGGUUUAAGAUUUUCACUCUUUUUUAAUGUGUGUAUAUAGUACUAGUAAUUUCCCUCUGAGCACUGCUGUAGCUGUCUCCCACUUUCUUUUUUAAAUUGCAUUUUCAUUUUCAGCCUUUCCAAUGUAUUUAUUUUUCAUUUGAGACCUCCUCUUAGACCUAUGGGUUUUUUUGAUGUGUUGAAUCAUUUCUAAGUGUUUGAAGAUUUUCCUAGUACCUUUUUGUAUUUGAUUUUUUGUUAAUUGCACUGUAGUAAGUAAACACCCUUUGUGUGAUUUCAAUUAUUUUUAAUUUGUUGAGACUUGCCUUACGUGCCAGGAUAGGGUUUAUAUUGAAAUAUGUUUCUGGCACUUGAAAACAAUGUGCAAUCCAUUAUUGCUUCGUGGUACAUUUUAUAAAUGUCAGUCAGACCCUAUUGGUUGAUGAUUUGUUGAGUUCUACACCUUAUUAUUUUUCUGUUAUUUUUUUCCUGUCACUUGUUGGUAAAUGUAUACAACUCUCAUUAUGAACUUUUUUCCUUCUUUGUUUCAGUAGUUUUUACUCUAUGCACUUUGAAGCUAUUUUGUUUGGUGCUUAUACAGACAGGGUUGUUGUGUCUUUUGCUUUGUAUUGUUCCAUUUGUCAUUAUAUGACAUAUCUAUUCCUGGUUUUAUUUCUUUCAAUGUUUAUUUUACUUGAUAUUAAUACAAGCACCCCUUAUUUCUUUGGUUGUUAUGUAUUUUUCCCAUCCUUUCAUUUUCAAUCUAUAUAUAUUGUUAUAUUUGAGUUCAUUGUAGAGAGCAUAUAAUUGGGCCAUGUGCUUUAAUUCACUGUGUAAAUGUCUGCUGUUUAAUUAGUAAUAAUAAUAUAAUGCAUAUUAUUCAUACAAUUUGCAUUUAUUCAAAAUUUUUUUUUGUUUUAAUUCACCUUUUUUUCCCAUUUAUUCUCUUUGUUUUUAUUGUUCUAAUUUCUCUCUCCUGCUGAUUUCUCUCUCUCUCCUGACAAUGUGUUGGAAUUUUAAGAACUUUUAUAUAAAUAAUAUUUUCAGUGUAUUUCUUUUUUUAAAUUUAGUUGAUUUAUUUCUCUAAUUUGUUAUACAUGACAGCAUAAUACAUAUAGAGAGUACAAUUUUUCAUGUCUCUAUUUAUUCACAGAGUCAUACCAUUCAUGUAUUUAUACAUGAACUUAGGGUAAUGAUGUCCAUCUCAUUCUAUCAUCUUUCCUGUCGGCAUGCUCCCUCCCUUCCCCUUCCUCCCCUUUUCCCUAUAUAAAGUUCCUCCAUUCCUCCCAUGCUCUACCCCUGCAUCCCCAUUAUGGAUGAGCAUCCUCAUAUCUGAGAAAACAUUCAGCCUUUGGUUUUUGGAAUUGGCUUACUUCACUUAGCAUUCUCCAACUCCAUCCAUUUACCUGCAAGAGUCAUGAUUUUAUUCUCUUUUAAUGCUGAGUAAUAUUCCAUUGUGUAUAUAUACUACAUUUUCUUUAUCCAUUCAUCUACUGAAGGGCAUCUAGGUUGUUUCCACAAUUUAGCUAUUAUGAAUUGUGCUGCUAUAAACAUUGAUGUGGUUGUGUAGUAUGCUGUUUUUAAGUCCUUUGGGUAUAGACCAAGGAGUGGGAUAGCUGGGUCAAAUGAUGGUUCCAUUCCAAGUUUUCCAAGGAAUCUCCAUACUGCUUUCCAUAUUUGUUGCACCAAUUUGCAGUCCCACCAGCAAGGUAUGAAUGUGCCUUUCUCCCCACAUCUUCGCCAACACUUAUUGUUGUUUGUAUUCUUAAUAGCUGCCAUUCUGACUGGAGUGAGACAAAAUCUUAGAAUAGUUUUGAUUUGCAAUUCUCUAAUUGCUAGAGAUGUUGAACAUUUUUUCAUAUGUUUGUUGAUUGCAUAACAUCUUCUGAGAAGUGUCUGUUCAGUUCUUUGGCCCAUUUAUUGAUUGGGUUGUUUGGAUUUUUAUUUGGUGUUAAGUUUUUUAAGCUCUCUCUCUCUCUCUCUCUCUCUCUCUCUCUCUAUAUAUAUAUAUAUAUAUAUAUAUAUAUAUAUAUAUCCUAGAGAUUAGUGCACUAUCCGAUGUUCAUGUAGUAAAAAUUUGCACCCAUUCUGGAUGCUCUCUGUGCACCUGGUUCUUUUGCCGAGAAGAAGCUCUUCAAUUUGAAUCCAUCCCAUUUAUUGAUUCUUGAUUUAAUUUUUUGCAUUAUAAGAGUCUUCUUAAGGAAAUCAAGGCCUAACCCAACAUGUUAUUAGUGAUUGUUUUAUGCUUUACAUUACAUAAAUUACAACUUUGAUAGUCAUCCUAUGUCUUCAUUUUGCCAAUUUUAUUAAAGUACUUAACUUCAAUUUUUGUAUCUUUACUCAUCUAUUUAUAAUAUAAUUGUCUUAAAUAUUUUCUAUGUAUAUGUUUAGGCCCACAUCAGAUAGUGCUACAUUUUUUUGUUUCUACCAUCAAACAUGAUUUAGAAAAUUUCAGAGAAGGAAAAUUUCUUAUAUUUAUCCAUAUAUGUGGUUAUGGAAUUCUUUCUUCCUUUGUAAAGUUCCAAGUUUCCUUCUGCUAUCAAUUGUGUUGACAACUCCCUAGUCAUUCUUUUAGGGUAGGUUUGCUGGAGAAAAAUUCUGUUAGUUUUUUUGAACUAAAAAUGUCCUGAUUUCUUUAUCACUUCUAAAGUAUCUUAUCCAUGGAUAUAAGAUUCUGGGUUGACAGUUUUUUCUUUCACCAUGUGAAAGUGUUGUGCCUCUUUAUUUUGGCCUGUGUGGUUUCCUAUAAAAAACCCACUGUCACACUUAUUUUUCCACAUUAGGUAAGGUUGUAUUAUCUUCUUACUCCUUUCAAGAUAUUUUUUUUUGUCUUUAAUUUAAAUACAUUUGAUUGUCAUUGGUUUUGGUGUAGAUUUCAUUGGAUUUGCAUUUGCAUAGGUUCUCGAAUAUAUAUGUCUUUUGCUAAAUUUAGGAAUUUUCCAGCAGUUAUUUCUUUAGGCAUUUUAAAAGACCAUUCCAUUUCUCCUUUCGUUUUGGAAGUAAUAAUGACACAAAUGUUUGAUCUUUUAUUAUAGUCCCACAGUUAAUUAUGUCUGUUUACCUUUUUUUUAAGUAUAUUUGUUUCUGUACCAGAUUGGGUCAUUUAUUUAGUUUUAUCUUCUAACUCUUUGCUGUCUUUCCUUUUCAGUUGAGUACAUCCAUUCAAUUUUAAAAUAUUAAUUUUUGUAAUUUUUUGAUGUAAAAUUUCUAUCUGAUUAUUCUUUUUAUCAUUUAUUCCUUUGCUAAUAUUUUUAAAGGUUUUACUUCAACCAUAUCCAUAGUUGCUCAUUAAGACAUUUUCAUAAUGAGAUGGAUGCUUUAAAAUCUUUGUGAGAUAAUACUAAUAGCUCUAUUAUCUUGGUGUUUGUAUUACUUGUCUUUUUAAAAAAUUCAGUUUGAGAUCUUCCUGGUUAUUUUUUGCAUCAAAAAUAAUUUCUAAUUGAAAUCUGGACAUUGUGGGUAUUAUGUAUGAGACUUUCAUUCUUAUUUAAAUCUUCUGUUGUACCUGGAUUCCUUUCAUUUCACUCCAGCAGAGGAGGGGGGUGGGGGAUAGGCCACUUCAUCAUUGCCAGAAGUAAAACAAGCCUAGGGUUUCUCUGAUUGGCCCCCACUGACACUGAAAUGCAAGAGUUCCUAGUCACUCCUAGAUGAGGGUGACAGUUUCUGUUCCUGGAUAGUUCUCCACUGACACCUCCCUGACUGGAAGUACUUUGUUAACUUCCUUUGUAGGAGUGGCUACUAUGGUAGCCUCCAUGAACUUCCGGUGCCCAGGAAUAGAGGGGUAGCCUUGUUAUUGCUGGACAGUUUCUAACAUGGUGAUUCUCUACAAGUCAUCCUCUAAUAUCACUUCAGUAGGGAGGCGGGUCUAGAGAGGAGUCUCUUUAUUUUUGAGUUGGGAGUGGGGCCCAGGCUCCUCUUGUAGGCUUUACUGACAGUGCAUGAAAAGGAAGGGAACUUGUUGUUUUAACACUCCACACCCCUGCAAUGGGGAUAAAUGUCCUUGCUCCCUACUUGGAUUUAGGCCAUACCAUGUCUGAGUGGGGAAGGUGUGGAUUUGGGUCACCUAGUUUUAGCUCAACAAGAGUCAGCCUCAAGGCUCCCUGCUUGACAUUUUCAGGUGUGAGUUGAAAUGGGCCCACAGUUCCUUGUGUGGUAUUGGAUUAGAAGUUUCUGUCUUUGUAGGAUGCCCCUUUCUUGGUCCCUUGACUAAAAAGAACAGGCUUUUGUUGGAAUUUUAGUUUAUUAUUUAUUUUUUUCUAUAACAUUUGGCAUUUCUGGGUUGUAGCCUUUUUCAGCUUGAAGUGUAGGAUAUCUAUGGCAAAAGAAAAUUGAAAUAAAUUACCACCAAGCUAUUUCUUGGGUCAUGCAACCCCAUAGCUUGUUUAUCAACUUCUCUUUAUCUUUCAGUGUUUUCCUUGUAUUUAUUCAUAUCUAAUAUCCAGGGAUUUUAGUUGAACCUAGUGGGAGGAUUAUGAAAAUCUUAUGUGUAUUACAUCUUCUUGUUUCUUUUUAAUUCAUUUUUUAAUUAGGAGAGAAUCAUACAAUAUUCACUAAUUAAUGAAUUUUGUAUUAAAAAGUAAAAACUUUGAACAGAAAAAUUCUCCAUCUGUAAUUUAUAUUUUAAUAUCCAUUUAACUUCUUUGUUCCAAUUUCUACCAGUUUGUUUCUUGAGGAGUUUAUCUCCAAUAAAUAUUCUUUCAUGACCUAUAACACUUUGAUUUAGCUUUUCUCACUUGAAAGAGAACUGAGGGACAUGGCAUACAAAAGACCAUAAAUUAUUUUUAGAAAUAUUUUUUCUAGAUCUCAGAAAACUUCAUAUUAUUUGCUUUUAUUGGGCAUGUCAUGGUUUGAUUAUCUUUUUAAACUUUGUCAUGUAUUGUUUAAUGUAUGUUUGUAUAUAUGAGGAAAGGUAAUUCCUCAUUAAUUCAUCACUUUGGAAAGGCACUGAAUAUACUUUUAAAUUUUUCUGAAAAGCCAUUUAUCCUUCUGAAAAAAAAAUUCAUCAAUUAUCACAAAAACAUUUUUUAAUAGAGUAGAAUAUGGUUCUUUGUAGAACUCUUCAGUGUAUUUGGCUUAAAUAUUAAUAAUACUCGCUUUCCUUCUUGGCUUUAUAUUCUGCUUAAUGAAAUUGUGAAAGAUUUAAUUCACUCCACUUUUGUUAGAAAGUGUGGAAAUGUUUGUACAUGGGAACUUUCAUUGCAUGCUGGAAUGGAAACUCACUGGGGAGGGGGAACCAUUUCAUUUUAUUGCCUAAGAGCUGUUGGUAUACUCCCUGCAUCUUUCAAAGGCAUCUUUCAUGCCACACAGGCAAACUGUAGCCAGUGAAGAAACAGAAAGAACACUUCUCGCAUGUGUCAACCUCAGCAAACUUGCACAGCAGCUGUGCUAGGUACUGAUGAGGAUUACCAGGACCCAGGGUUUUGUGUGGUUGAAGAGACAACUGGCCCUCUCCGGGGACCACUUUGUUGUAGACUGCAGCAAUAAUGCAUACCCACUGUUGCUAGUGGAUAUUGGUGGCCAUGUAGUGCAAAAGCAGUGCUAGAUAAAAUCAAAAAGUAAUAAGAAGCAAGAAGACAACUCAAGGAAUUUUUUUUUAAUCUUAAAGUGAGAGACUAAAACAAACAUUCCAGGCUUUGCAUUCACUUGUGAGGAAAAGGAGACAGAAGAAGGGAUGCCUUUAACACAGAAAACUUGCGGGGCAUUCCCGUCUUUUUAUUUGAGAACCAUUUGGGUGUGUGAAGAAAUAAAGUUGCAGAAUAGGCAUGUUCAGACCUUUAUUUGCUACUUUUGGUAGGAAAGAUUUUUCCCCCCUCUUAACUACAAGAAGCCAGGAUUUUCUGUGCAAACGAAACAGGCGUUGCAAGAAUCAGAUUCACUUUGGACGACUCUUCACAUUCCAAGUCAUCAUUGCAUUAGGCAGCACAAUUCCAUCUCUGGUUGAUGGGCAGAAAAAGUGGGCAGCUUGCCAGGUAGACGUUUCCAUGACUCCCAGCCCCCAAAGGUGAUGCGUUUUUCAGCUAAUUCAAUGAAGAGUGGGCUGAACUUUGGGUCUAAAGGAGACAAUAGCUGCCUUCGCAGUAUCAGCAGAAUGGUUGAUGGGAAUGCACUCUACAUUUGGCAGAGAAUCAUGUGACCUUACGACUGAGAUUUUGUGAUGGUGCCAACGGAGACUUGGAAAGCAGCAACGGUCCUGACUUUUUUCUUCUUUUCUAGCAUGGCUCAGAAAAUGGUGGAUCUUAAUACUUGACUUUAGCCAGACUCAGCAAGCAACUGAGCUUUGAAGCACAACUUCGCCUUUAUUCUGGGUUUUUGGCAGGCCACCAGGAGGCUGUCCCUUUCACGCCUGAUAAAUUCUGCUGCUUAUCUCUAAAAAGAGAGAGAAGGGAGGAAAAAAACAAAAACAAAAAAGAAAAAUAAUAACAGAAUAUUGAGGCAUAACAAGUGAAUUCUAAAAUUUUGUGUGCUUUUUGUUUUUUUUGUCUUUUCCCUGCUGAUUUUUUUUUUAUGUUAAUACCCUUUCUGCUUGCUGAGGAAUCCAAGUAGUUGGGUUAUUUAUUUAUUUAUUUUUUUGGUUUAUAAUGAACAGGCAUUUGAACUGGGCAAACAGGACGACAGCAGCAGUGAGCAUGAGAUCAUUGCAGCCGUGUAGCAAACUGGCAUCCUGCCUUUUCACCCCUUUGGUUCGGGAGAGAAACGUGUACAGUCCUCAUUUCUAAAGUCAGCACAGCCCGGAAGGAUUCCUGGUCUCUCCCACCUUCUACCAUUCUGCUGCCAGUGACGGCAAGGAUUGGUGCAGCUUCUGCGCAGUGCUUUGUGCCUGGAAUACAGAGAAGGAAGAGAAAGAAGACAAGCACUCUCGUCCUUCUUUGCUAAGAAAUAACAGGAGCCCUGAAGAAAAAAAAAUUGUCUUACUUCAUGCAAGAGUUUUGAAAAAAAAUAUAUGAAAGACUCCUACUCAAAAAAACAAAAACAAAAACAAACAAAAAUCCAAACCAAAACAAAUCAAAAAAAAAAAAAAAAAAGCAAACAUUGGCUUGUAU